UACGAAGGGGGCUAGCGUUGCUCGGAAUCACUGGGCGUAAAGCGCACGUAGGCGGAUUGCUAAGUCAGGGGUGAAAUCCUGGAGCUCAACUCCAGAACUGCCUUUGAUACUGGCGAUCUCGAGUCCGGGAGAGGUGAGUGGAACUGCGAGUGUAGAGGUGAAAUUCGUAGAUAUUCGGAAGAACACCAGUGGCGAAGGCGGCUCACUGGCCCGUUACCGACGCUCAGGCGCGACAGCGUGGGGAGCAAACAGG
rnacentral:rRNA from 1 species